rnacentral:lncRNA from 1 species
AAAGAGAAGAACGGAAGUUGUUGAUUUAAGGUUGUCUAAAUGAAUAUUUUGAAAUGUAAAUUAGAAAAGAGAGAGAGAGAGAGAGAGAGAGAGAGAGAGAGAGAGAGAGAGAGAGAGAGAGAUAUGCUUGUUUAGGUGAGCUUUUCUCAAGAAAUUAUGUUUGUCAAAAAUUGACAAAGUUCCACCAGUUAAUGGAAUAGAAUUAUUGGAAUGCUGUUUAGGUGAUUUUGAUAGUGACCCCAAGUAAGUAGAUUGUGGAAAUCUGUGUGUAGCAUUUGUUUAAUGCAGGACUGAGAAGGACCAAGGCAUUCUUGGCACUAAACAAGCAUACCUUGAACCAACAACUCAUUUAAAGAAUUUGUGGAUGAGAGACUACAGGAGAAUAACUUAAGGAAGUGGCUGAAUGGCAUUUCCCCCUUGCACUUCUUCCCUUUCCCCAAUGCAGUUCUGCCUCCACCAGCUCUAGAGCUGUCCAUCAUCCCUCCAAGACAGACCUUUCUCCAGGGACAACGGAUCAAGUUGAAAUGCUCCCACCCGGAAGGGCAGCUGGCAGCCAAGUUCUUAUUUUAUGAAAUGAAAGCUGAUGGUGGGUGGACUAAACUCCAAGAACAGUUCGAUAAUACCCUGGAAAUCACUGCAGAAUUUCAGGAAACAAAGAAAUCAUUUGUCUGUGCCUACAUGGAAGAAAGCAGUGCAGGACAACUGUCUGAACGGAGUAACCGCAUUGAGGUUUCCAUUAUAGGCCGCCUUCAUCCUCCAUUCUUCUCUGUGUCCCCGAAGCUUGACAUCUACAGCAGUGGGGAGAUUGUGAACUUCACAUGCUCUGCUCCUGAAAACAUUCUCAUGUCGAGGGUUUUCUUUGGGAAGGACCGAUGGCUGUUGCAUGUCUACAGGCCCCCUUCUCCUCUGGCCUCCUUUACGUACACGAGGCGCUUGUCUCCUCAAGACAGCGGGGAGCAUCUUUGCACGUACCGAGCUGCAGAAUCGAGCUGGAACAUCUCAUCCCUAGAAAGCAGAAGGAUCAGGAUUUCGGUGAUGGCUCCUCCUCCUGCCCCGGUGCUGACAGUGGAUCCUCCGUCUGGAGUGGUGAAGGAAGGGGGAUUCCUGCGCCUCACUUGCUCGGCCUUUGGCAGCGACGCAGAGCAAAGGUUUCAUUUCUACAGGGAUGGGGUGAAGAUUUCCUCCAGCAGUGAAGAGUCUCUGGCGGACUCCGGAGAACCCAGGAAUGCCUUCUCGAACGCCUCUGCAAACAUCCUGGUCCAAGUCACAGCCAGCAUCCACACUGGGGGAUUUGCUUGCAGGUAUGAGCAGAAACUGAGCAGCCGAUGGAUCAUGUCUCCCUGGAGCCAAACAGUGAAUCUCACAGCUUGGGCACCAAAUUCCUCUUCGUCACCCCUGCUAUAUGCACGCUGGGCAAUUCCACUGGUGAUCCUGAUGGUCCCUCUUGCUUUUUACUGCACGAGAAGGAAGAGAGCGUUGAAAUCUGAGCAGGAAAACAAGGAAGAAGCAAAUUCUGAGUAUGUUGAAAUGUUCAGCGCCACUCGGAAGCCUCAGAGGACUCAGACACCUUUUACUGCCUUGCCGCCCCCUGCUCUGCCUCAGCCCCCAAUAUCGCAGUCAUGGAUGGAGAGUGGAGCCAAACCAGUUGAAGACCAGGAGGAAGGUCUCUACAACUACAUUCCCCUUCAGGGCAAGAAGAGAGCAGAAGGAUACAGAGAUUCUGAAGAAGAAUGAGCCGUCGGGGAGAUUACGACCAGGGAGAUGGGGUGGAAGGGGUCAGGGAAGAGGGCAGCGUUCUGCCUUUCCCUGCCUAGUCCAGCAAACGGCUUGGCUCACUUUCUGCAGCUCUUUCCUCAAGAGUCUGUCUGUCUAAAAUACUUUGCCCCGUUGCCCAAGGGUGCCUCUAAGUGGCAGGAUUUGCCCAGUUAGCUGCUGUUCCUCUCCCUAGAUCAGGGAUGGGGAACUUGUGGCUCCCUCGAUGAUCUUGGGAUCCAGCUCCCAUCAGCCCCAGCCAACAUGGUCUGUGCUUGAGGGAUGAUAGGAAUGGUUGAAGUUGUUGUCUAUGCUCUUGUAUCCUCAAGGUUAGAUUACUGCAAUGCAGGGCUGCCUCUGAAGACGGUUUGGAAACUUCAGCUGGUGCAGAAUUCAGCGGCCAGGAUGCUCACUGGAACAAGAGGGUUUGAACAUAUUGCAUCAAUCCUGGUCUGAUUGCACCGUAUUCCGAUUACAGGGAUUGGCAAGACAAACUGUUAGAGUAUAUUGAACAGGCUAGAUUAACAGAGGCAAUUAGAGAUCACCGUUUCGAAAAGCAUGGGGAAAAUGCAGAGAAUACUUCACAAAACAGUGCCCUAAAAGACAUACCUGGACUUGUUUCGAUUAAUGUCUGAAGGAGACUUUGUGGAUAUUUAAGUUACAAUUAGAAAAAUCUUAAUAAUUAUUCAUAAAGGAAACAGCUUAUAAGAAGUAAAUAAGGAGGCCAGAUACAGGAUAAAGGAAGUCUUUUAUUUGUAUUGUUGUAUGUUAUGCUUAUUGUAUGUUAUGUUCAUGUUUAAUGAGGGUAGGUUUCUGUAUUGGGGGCAGGGGGUUUAUGUUAUGUUGUAAAUAAAAUUUCCAAUAAAAAUUAAAAAAAAAUAGAAAAAAUAAAGCAUGCCCAGCGCACAUCACUUCUCCCAAAGUCCGUCAACAUGGACAGAUUCUCCCCUCGCUGUGUGUGAGGUUUGGUUUAAACUGGAGAGAACCGCAGGCCUUGAAGCUGUGUGGCUGUGCAGGAAAAAAAAACAGCACUUCCUCACUUGGUAGACCACACUGGCCACGUCCCCAGAUUCCUCUCUUCUCAGAAGAACAAAACAAAACCACGGCUCCCUCCGCAGCUCCCUGCUAGUAAUAUCAGACUGCUGCACGCCCUGCCUCUUGCAUCAACUUUCAAAGGAACAACUGGGGUUUUGCCCAUCGGCUACGGAGAAAAGGCUGCUUCUGGGCAGCCUGCCUUGGCAGUGACACCCGAUAAACACAGUACAGUGGUACCUCAGGUUACAGACGCUUCAGGUUACAUACGCUUCAGGUUACAGACUCCGCUAACCCAGAAAUAGUGCUUCAGGUUAAGAACUUUGCUUCAGGAUGAGAACAGAAAUCAUGCUCUGGCGGCAUGACAGCACGUCAUCAUUCAAAGGAAUUCCUGUCUUUUUUAUAUACAGUGGUACCUCAGGUUAAGUACUUAAUUCAUUCCGGAGGUCCGUACUUAACCUGAAACUGUUCUUAACCUGAAGCACCACUUUAGCUAAUGGGGCCUCCCGCUGCUGCCGCGCCGCAGGAGCACGAUUUCUGUUCUCAUUCUGAAGCAAAGUUCCUAACCUGAAGCACUAUUUCCCUCCGGAGCUCAGAGGGAAUCCGCCAUUAGGUCGCUGGCGCUGACCGGAAGCCCUCAAGAAGAACACGUUUAGAGAAGAUUGGAAAACAUUUAUUGAAUGUAUGGGAAAUAAUUACGUACAGCUGAAAACACUGGCGGCAUUAAGAUAAAUUCAGCAGUGUAAACAAGUUUUGAUGGAUGCAAUAAUGAAACACUGUAUGGCAUAAUUUUUGCAAAAUAUGCAGGGAUUUAUGAUAUGUAAAAUGAACCAUGGAAAGAGAAGUCACUGAUAUCUUAAGGAUGUAAAAUGAGCAUUUUAAAUUGUAAAACAGAAAACGUAAUAAAAAUGAUAUACAAAAAAGAAAAGAGAAAGUGGCGGCCUUCGAGAUUCACGCUAAUUUUGCAGUUCUCCAGCUGAGCAACAUGUUCAAAAAUGCACACUUAAGGUAAAGUGUGCAUUUAUUGGUGAAAAUAGCAUGCAGGGACACGUUACGAUCAGGGGAAAUUGCUUUGCAAGGAUGUGCAGAAAAUGCAAAAUUGCACAGGCAAGUAUGUAUGCUAGGAGAUAUUCUUUCUAAGAUGCUGCUGAGUUUUUAUGAGAAUUGAAAAAUAAAUAAAUCACAAACUGAUGUGUCAGUGUGGAGAACUGAGAGUGGGAAAAGGAGAGACUGAAAGGGACAAAUCCACCCAUUGCUUCACACAGCACCUGCCCUUUCCACUUCUGGGCCAUCUCUUUCCUGCACAGCCUCAAGGUGGCUUUGUUGAGGGUGGAAGAGAAGAUCGCUGUAGAGGACCUCUUCGUCUUUUGCUGAGAUGGGAUCAUUCUUCAGCGUUGGUUCAGAGGCAGUCACAGUCGGUGGGGAGGCAAUGGUGGCAUAGGUGACGUCUGAGCUCUGAGGAUGGAGAGGGAAACGAGGGUGACCCACGGUUCAAGCUGGAAAGCAGAAAUGGCUCAGGAACAGUCCAUUGAGAAGGAGGUUUCUUUCCCAGUGUACCCCCCAGGGCUCUCUGCAAAAUAUACUUCAAACGGGAUGACCAGCAAAAUACCGUAUUUUUCAAUCUAUAAGACGCCCCCAGGUAUAAGAUGCCCCCUAUUUUGGGGGACUCAAAUAUAAGAAAAUGGGGGGAGAUGUAUCCAUGUAUAAGACACCCCCUAAUUUUUGACAUUAUUUUUAGGGGGGGACCUAGUGUUCUAACACGGAAAAAUAUGGUAAUUUCUGGCACACACAUAAGAACUUAAGAAUAUACACCAGGGGUCAGCAACCUUUUCCAGCCGUGGGCCAGUCCACCAUCCCUCAGACCUUGUGGGGGGUCCAGACUAUAUUUGGGGGGGGGUGAAUGAACAAAUUCCUAUGCCCCACAAAUAACCCAGAGAAGCGUUUAAAAUAAAAGGACACAUUCUACUCAUGUAAAAACAUGCUGAUUCCCGGACUGUCCACAGGCAGGAUUUAGAAGGCGAUUGGGCUGGAUUCAGCCCCCAGGCCUUAGGUUGCCUAUCCCUGAUAUACACCUUUAGGCGCCAGGCAAAAACAUUCCUCUUUAACCAGGUCUUUGGCUUAUUGACACCCAAUGCCCUUUUAAAUGUGUUGUGGGAGGUGGGAUUAUUGGUUUCUUAUUUUUAUCAUGCAUUUUUUGUUAUUUUAUACUGUACAGUGGUACCUCGGGUUAAGUACUUAAUUCAUUCUGGAGGUCCGUUCUUAACCUGAAACUGUUCUUAACCUGAAGCACCACUUUAGCUAAUGGGGCCUCCUGCUGCUGCCGUGCCACUGCUGAGCGAUUUCUGUUCUCAUCCUGAAGCAAAGUUCUUAACCUGAGGUGCUAUUUCUGAGUUAGCAGAGUCUGUAACCUGAAGCGUCUGUAACCUGAAGCAUCUGUAACCUGAAGCGUCUGUAACCCGAGGUACCACUGUAAUUUGAUGUUGUGAACCGCCCUGCGAUCUAUGGAUGUAGGGCAGUAUACAAAUAAUAAUAGAAUAAUAGAUUUGC